UACAGAGGUCUCGAGCGUUAGGCGGAAUCACUGGGCUUAAAGCGUGUGUAGGCGGAUCGUUAAGUACCUUGUGAAAUCCCACGGCUUAACCGUGGAACUGCUUGGUAUACUGGCGGUCUUGAGCCAGCUAGGGGCUACCGGAACAAAUGGUGGAGCGGUGAAAUGCGUAGAUAUCAUUUGGAACACCAAUGGUGAAAACAGGUAGCUGGGGCUGUGCUGACGCUGAGACACGAAAGCCAGGGGAGCAAACGGG
rnacentral:rRNA from 1 species